rnacentral:misc_RNA from 1 species
GGAAAUGACUGCUCUCCAUGAUAAUGGUACUUGGGAGUCGGUUUCAUUGCCACAGGGUAAAUCUACUGUUGGAUGUUGCUGGGUUUUUACUGUGAAAGUGAGCCCUAAUGGACAGGUUGAUUGGUUGAAGACUCGUCUAGUUUCCAAAGGCUAUACUCAGAUUUUUUGGGUUGAUUAUGGUGACACCUUUUCUCUAGUUGCUAAAAUUACAUCAGUUUGUCUUCUUAUCUCUUUGGCAACAAUGCAUCAUUGGCCAUUUCAUCAACUAGAUAUUAAAAAUGCCUUUUUACAU